AUGAGAGCUUUAUUCUGGAAUAUUUGUGGUUUCGGUGCUAGGGGGCGCCGUGACCAGAUUCAUGACUUGGUUUGUGGUGAACAUAUUGACAUUUUAGGAUUGGUCGAAACGUUUAAGGAAUCCUUUUCCCCUUCUGAACUCUCUGCGAUAGCUGGGAUGGAUACGUUUGAUUGGCACUUUCUCCCCGCCUCGAGUCAUUCUGGGGGAAUCUUGAUUGGGUCCAAGCGGGACGUUUUUGAUUUCAUUGCUUUUGAUCAUGGCAUCUUUUGGGCUAGCUGUGUGGUUCAUCAUCGUCAGCUGAACACUUUGUGGGAAUUUAUGGUGGUAUAUGGCCCCGUAGAUCACACGCUUGCUCCUCUCUUUUUGGAUGAACUAUCGAUUAAGAUUGAAGCAUGUAAUAUUCCUCUUCUAAUUGGGGGUGAUUUCAAUUUGUUA
rnacentral:rRNA from 1 species